UACGUAGGGGGCAAGCGUUGUCCGGAAUCACUGGGCGUAAAGCGUCUGUAGGUGGUGAUGCAAGUCACUGGUGCAAAACUCUGGCUCAACCGGAGGAAAGCCAGUGAAACUGCAUGACUAGAGUGUGGGAGAGGUAGAAGGAAUUCCAUGAGUAGCGGUGAAAUGCGUAGAUACAGGGAAGAACACCGGAGGCGAAAGCGUUCUACUGGAACACAACUGACACUGAGAGAAGAAAGCUAGGGGAGCGAAUGGG
rnacentral:rRNA from 1 species